rnacentral:rRNA from 1 species
AUUGAACGCUGGCGGCAUGCUUUACACAUGCAAGUCGAACGGCAGCACGGAAGAGCUUGCUCUUUUGGUGGCGAGUGGCGAACGGGUGAGUAAUGCAUCGGAACGUACCGAGUAGUGGGGGAUAACUGUCCGAAAGGAUGGCUAAUACCGCAUACGCUUUGCGAAGGAAAGCGGGGGCUCUUCGGACCUCGCGCUAUUCGAGCGGCCGAUGUCUGAUUAGCUAGUUGGUGGGGUAAGGGCCUACCAAGGCGACGAUCAGUAGCGGGUCUGAGAGGAUGAUCCGCCACACUGGGACUGAGACACGGCCCAGACUCCUACGGGAGGCAGCAGUGGGGAAUUUUGGACAAUGGGGGGAACCCUGAUCCAGCCAUGCCGCGUGUCUGAAGAAGGCCUUCGGGUUGUAAAGGACUUUUGUCAGGGAAGAAAAGCUUUGGGUUAAUACCCCGGGGUAAUGACGGUACCUGAAGAAUAAGCACCGGCUAACUACGUGCCAGCAGCCGCGGUAAUACGUAGGGUGCGAGCGUUAAUCGGAAUUACUGGGCGUAAAGCGAGCGCAGACGGUUACUUAAGCAGGAUGUGAAAUCCCCGGGCUCAACCUGGGAACUGCGUUCUGAACUGGGUGACUAGAGUAUGUCAGAGGGGGGUAGAAUUCCACGUGUAGCAGUGAAAUGCGUAGAGAUGUGGAGGAAUACCGAUGGCGAAGGCAGCCCCCUGGGAUAAUACUGACGUUCAUGCUCGAAAGCGUGGGUAGCAAACAGGAUUAGA